rnacentral:rRNA from 1 species
GAUGAACGCUGGCGGCGUGCCUAAUACAUGCAAGUCGAGCGAACAGACGAGGAGCUUGCUCCUCUGACGUUAGCGGCGGACGGGUGAGUAACACGUGGAUAACCUACCUAUAAGACUGGGAUAACUUCGGGAAACCGGAGCUAAUACCGGAUAAUAUAUUGAACCGCAUGGUUCAAUAGUGAAAGACGGUUUUGCUGUCACUUAUAGAUGGAUCCGCGCCGCAUUAGUUAGUUGGUAAGGUAGCGGCUUACCAAGGCAACGAUGCGUAGCCGACCUGAGAGGAUGAUCGGCCACACUGGAACUGAGACACGGUCCAGACUCCUACGGGAGGCAGCAGUAGGGAAUCUUCCGCAAUGGGCGAAAGCCUGACGGAGCAACGCCGCGUGAGUGAUGAAGGUCUUCGGAUCGUAAAACUCUGUUAUUAGGGAAGAACAAAUGUGUAAGUAACUAUGCACGUCUUGACGGUACCUAAUCAGAAAGCCACGGCUAACUACGUG